rnacentral:rRNA from 1 species
AUUGAACGCUGGCGGCAGGCCUAACACAUGCAAGUCGAACGAGUGGCGGACGGGUGAGUAAUGUCUGGGAAACUGCCUGAUGGAGGGGGAUAACUACUGGAAACGGUAGCUAAUAACGCAUACCAUCGGAUGUGCCCAGAUGGGAUUAGCUAGUAGGUGGGGUAAAGGCUCACCUAGGCGACGAUCCCUAGCUGUUCUGAGAGGAUGACCAGCUCCACUGGAGCUGUGACACGGUCCCGUCUACUACGGUAGGCGGCAGUGGGGAAUAUUGCACAAUGGGCGCAAGCCUGAUGCAGCCAUGCCUCGUGUAUGAGGCAGGCUUUCGGGUUGUCAAGUACUUUCAGCGGGGAGGCGUUACCCGCAGAAGAAGCACCGGCUAACUCCGUGCCAGCAGCCGCGGUAAUAC